CUGCAGCACCGGCAGCCCCGAUCCCCCGCCGCCACCACUGCAGCCGCGCCGCGGGUCGGCGCAGGGCGGCCGGGAGCCGCCGCCCCGCGGGCUGGGAAGGCGAGGCCAAGCGGCGGGGGGCCACCCGCGCUCCGGGGCACCACCCGCCCGCAUCCCCUCAGCACCUGAGUGGAGAAUCAGGGCGGCCUCUGCCCACUCCCGCCAGCCGGCCCCCGGCGUAUCCGGCGGCGCCCCACGGCCUGAGCCGGCUGCCCGUUCAGCCCGGCGGUGCUGCCCGGGAGGGACACGUUACCUGGUCAGGCUCCUCCGACACUCGGGGCGCUCGCCGUCCACCGGUGGGGGCUGGGGACCCUCCUGCCCCCGCCCGGCCCGCGGGGUAGAAAAGACUGCAAGUCUCUGCCCUUAUCUUCAUUGAUUUUGCCUUCCAGAGAAGAAAGCAUUUUGCUCACAUCAUUCAUCGCAGCAGCAAUGCUGUCAACCUUCUUCUGUAGAAAAGUCAGUUUCAUCUCCUGGCUGCUAAUCCUCUCAUUCAUUUUUUGUAGGAAACAUUCCCAUGAAGCAUUUCUUCAUUUCCACAGUUGCCCAGGAAAAUAGAAAGGAUGCAGCCUGGAGGUAACUGUGAAACAGAAGUAGCUUUGGGGCAAUUUUAAGUAAGGACUGCCUGCACUGGGUCCAUGGCAGAAAACCAGUGCCCAGUCUACGUGAGUAUGCACCAAUAAUACAUGUGUUUCCCUCAACUGGAAAAAAACCCACCUUAUUUCUGAUAUGGUAAGGCAGAUUACUGUAGUUUUUCCCUGUGCUCAGCUGAAUCAUCCUCAGUGAUUU